AGGGUGAUGGAUGACCUCAGAACGGCCCCACCCAGGCCACUUAGGCAUAUGCAUGACAGAGGACUCAGUAGGUCUGGGCCGGCCAGUGGGACAAUACUCCAAACAGACCUGCAAGGAUAAAGACAGAUGGAGGGGAGCCCUUAGAACUAAUAAUUGCAUUUUCCGUAAACACUUCCAGAUGGAGGCCCCACACCAAGCAACAAGAAGGCAGCUCAUUUCAAGCUGAAAUGCAGG